rnacentral:misc_RNA from 1 species
UUUCCGUAGGUGAACCUGCGGAAGGAUCAUUAUCAUGUAAUUCAGUCCCCUUGGCUGUGUUAUAUAUAUACCCACUCUGUGUACCUUCUCCUGUUGCUUCCGCUGGGCGUGUAAUUCGCCCGGCGGAAGGGUAAAAAUAACCUCUGAGUAUUGAUGAAAUCUCUGUCUGAACCGAAUAGAAAGAAAAAUGUUAAAACUUUCAGCAACGGAUCUCUUGGUUCUC